ACAGGGAUUGCCCUAGUAACGGCGAGUGAAGCGGCAACAGCUCAAAUUUGAAAUCUGGCGUCUUCGGCGUCCGAGUUGUAAUUUGCAGAGGGCGCUUUGGCAUUGGCAGCGGUCCAAGUUCCUUGGAACAGGACGUCACAGAGGGUGAGAAUCCCGUACGUGGUCGCUAGCCUUUACCGUGUAAAGCCCCUUCGACGAGUCGAGUUGUUUGGGAAUGCAGCUCUAAAUGGGAGGUAAAUUUCUUCUAAAGCUAAAUACUGGCCAGAGACCGAUAGCGCACAAGUAGAGUGAUCGAAAGAUGAAAAGCACUUUGGAAAGAGAGUUAAAAAGCACGUGAAAUUGUUGAAAGGGAAGCGCUUGCAGCCAGACUUGCCUGUAGUUGCUCAUCCGGGUUUCUACCCGGUGCACUCUUCUAUAGGCAGGCCAGCAUCAGUUUGGGCGGUUGGAUAAAGGUCUCUGUCAUGUACCUCCUCUCGGGGAGAACUUAUAGGGGAGACGACAUGCAACCAGCCCGGACUGAGGUCCGCGCAUCUGCUAGGAUGCUGGCGUAAUGGCUGUAAGCGGCCCGUCUUGAAACACGGACCAAGGAGUCUAACAUCUAUGCGAGUGUUUGGGUGUCAAGCCCGAGCGCGUAAUGAAAGUGAACGGAGGUGGGAACCUUUCGGGGUGCACCAUCGACCGAUCCUGAUGUCUUCGGAUGGAUUUGAGUAAGAGCAUAGCUGUUGGGACCCGAAAGAUGGUGAACUAUGCUUGAAUAGGGUGAAGCCAGAGGAAACUCUGGUGGAGGCUCGCAGCGGUUCUGACGUGCAAAUCGAUCGUCAAAUUUGGGCAUAGGGGCGAAAG
rnacentral:rRNA from 1 species